CACAUAUACACAAUAAUACUACAUAAUAUUAUUCACUUCUAGGGAGUGUUUAGUAUUAUAAAUAAAUAAAAACGUAAUCAAUCAAUAAUGAUAUUCACAACGUGGAUGUUAAAACGCUAAACUUAACCUGUGUACCUGUCUCGAUAAAUUAUGGUUAAGGCCCUAGUUGGAAAAGGGCAGGGAGAGGGAACAAUAUUAGUUUUCAAUCAACAGGUGUAGAAGAAAUUAAAAUACUAG